rnacentral:lncRNA from 1 species
AUUUUCUUCACCGCUUUCUCCUUUCCUUAUACAUCAAUAUGACGCGAUCCAUCACUUUUUGCCUAUUGGUUUUGACAGCAGUAAUAGCUUUCAUCCGAGAAGUUGAUGCGGAGUGUAUAGGAUGUAUGGUGGAUGGUAAAUGCCGCGAAUCCAAAGAGUCAUGGACAGAAAGGAAGGGAGAUACGUGUGCCACGAAACUGUGUCAACCUAAGGUUAACCAAACAUGGAGAGUAUUUACAAAAAAAGUGUCGUGUCUGAAAGAAGAUGGCAAGUGUGUUGGGAAAGGUACAACUUGGACGACCAUGAAAGGCGGAAAAUGCUGGACUCAUGAAUGCAUAAUUUCACCACUUAACAAAGUUACAAUUUCAUCAAAAGUAGGAGGAAAGUGUUAAGAAAAAAUGUGAGACUGACCAAUCUAGAACCGAAAACGAAAUCGCAACCAAUACCAAAAUCAAUUUGCAAUAAACCGAUGAAGAAGGAGAUAAUAAUUAUACCGAGCCAAACUUUAAUAUUUCUCUCUUAUAAUCCUCACAGAAACACGUGUAAUA